AGGGCACCACCAGGAGUGGAGCCUGCGGCUUAAUUUGACUCAACACGGGGAAACUUACCCGGCCUGGACACUGGAAGGAUUGACAGAUUGAGAGCUCUUUCUUGAUUCAGUGGGUGGUGGUGCAUGGCCGUUCUUAGUUGGUGGAGCGAUUUGUCUGGUUAAUUCCGAUAACGAACGAGACUCUAGCCUAUUAAAUAGGCUCUCGGCUUUUAAACGCCGGGAGGACUUCUUAGAGGGACAGGUGGCGGUUCAGCCGCACGAAAGAGAGCAAUAACAGGUCUGUGAUGCCCUUUGUUGUCCGGGGCCGCACGCGCGCUACACUGAAAAGAUCAGCGUGCUUUACGUUCCUGCUCCGACCGGAGUGGGGAACCCAGUGAACCUUCUUCGUGAUUGGGAUAGAAGAUUGUAAUUAUUCUUCUCGAACGAGGAAAUCCCAGUAAAUGCGAGUCAUAAGCUCGCGUUGAUUACGUCCCUGCCCUUUGUACACACCGCCCGUCGCUACUACCGAUUGAACGAUUU
rnacentral:rRNA from 1 species